rnacentral:rRNA from 1 species
UGAACGCUGGCGGCGUGCCUAACACAUGCAAGUCGAACGAGAAAUUUCCUGCUUGCAGGGGAGAGUAAAGUGGCGCACGGGUGAGUAACGCGUGGGUAACCUGCCCUUGAAACCGGGAUAACUUCGCGAAAGCGAUGCUAAUACCGGAUAUCGUCUCUGGGACUUUGGUAUUGGAGAUGAAAGGUGACCUCUUCAUGAAAGUUGCCGUUUAAGGAUGGGCUCGCGUACCAUUAGCUAGUUGGUGGGGUAAUGGCCCACCAAGGCGACGAUGGUUAGCUGGUCUGAGAGGAUGAUCAGCCACACUGGAACUGGAACACGGUCCAGACUCCUACGGGAGGCAGCAGUGAGGAAUUUUGCGCAAUGGGGGAAACCCUGACGCAGCAACGCCGCGUGAGUGAAGAAGGCUUUCGGGUCGUAAAGCUCUGUCAAAUGGGAAAAAGGCCUUUGGCUUAAUAGGUUGAAGGAUUGAUGGUACCAUUGGAGGAAGCACCGGCUAACUCC